GCGACCACAGGUCAGGUGGGCCACCCACCA
rnacentral:rRNA from 1 species